rnacentral:rRNA from 1 species
GCUACGGGGGGCAGCAGUGGGGAAUUUUGGACAAUGGGCGAAAGCCUGAUCCAGCAAUGCCGCGUGAGUGAAGAAGGCCUUCGGGUUGUAAAGCUCUUUUGUUUGGGAAGAAAUCCCUAAGGAUAAUACCCUUGGGGGAUGACGGUACCAAAAGAAUAAGCACCGGCUAACUACGUGCCAGCAGCCGCGGUAAUACGUAGGGUGCAAGCGUUAAUCGGAAUUAGUGGGCGUGGAUCUUGAAGACACGGUUGAAAUCCCCGAGCUCAACUUGGGAACUGCACUUGUGACUGCAAGACUAGAGUGUGUCAGAGGGAGGUAGAAUUCCACGUGUAGCAGUGAAAUGCGUAGAUAUGUGGAGGAAUACCAGUGGCGAAGGCGGCCUCCUGGGAUAACACUGACGCUCAUGUACGAAAGCGUGGGGAGCAAACAGGAUUAGAUACCCCAGUAGUC